CGUGGCUGCCCGCACGCCAGUGCCCGGCGUCGGCACCGCGAGGCGUUGUCGUGAUCCCCAGGCUCCCUCCGCCGUGUGCCCGUACCUGCGGCCCGGCCGCAGAGUAAUGCCCUCUGAAUAAAUUGCGAGCGUCCGAUUAAAAAUCAUUCCAGAAGGAAAAAAAAUGUGCUACAGUCUAACCAGCCUAAAGGACAUCACAUAUGUGCCCACUUCAGCCAUUAAAGUCUGCUUUGGGACACCGUGUCAGAUUGGACAAUCUGAAGAAGAAGGAAUUGAAGCACACACUUUUGCCUGUCUGGAAGACAAGUCUCCCAGAAUAUACCUUUUCCUACACUCAUAUGACACAAGUCCAGAAAAGGACCUCAAGAGUGUGAAAAAACAAAGUUAAGCUUGAAUAUGAAUGUAACGAAAGCAGUGACACUGAAGAAAGUUUCUUCCAGGCAUCUGCAAAGACUUAUGGAUCAGACAAUGAUGUUAUCGGAGGUAUGAAGUCAGAAAUACUUUACCAGUUUGAAAUGUGCAUGAAAGAUAAGACAUGGUUAGCACUGCUGAUGAUUUUUAGAUUUUUUUCAU
rnacentral:lncRNA from 1 species